GGUUCUAUAGUUCAAUUGGAUAGAAUAUCAGAUUCCGGUUCUGACGAUUUGGGUUCGAAUCCCAAUAGAGCCUCUA
rnacentral:tRNA from 3 species